UGCUGCGAUAGCUCACUUGGUGGAGCAUGAGACUCUUCAUCUCUGGGUCCUGGGUUCCAGCCUCAAGUUGGGCGA